AUGAAAUCCAAUUUCCAAAUAUACAAAGUAGAGGGAAUUGUUCUGUUAUUUCAAACCAAGUUACAAAGUCUAAAAUUCAUGUACAAUUUCCUAUACCAAUAUCAAGUUCAUGACGAAGACUUUGCCAAUUACAACCAAAAGCCAAGAUACAUCCCAAUACAUCAAGAAUCCACAGAGAAAAGUUACAAGGCAUUUUUAACUUAA